UGUGCUGUACCUGCCCUGCUUCAGGUUCUUGACUAUAUGCCAUAAUCUCCUUGGGCUGCACCAUGUGGCCGAGUUCAAGCUUGUUCCAGGAUCUUUGGCUUCUGCUUUCCUGACAAAGCCUGCUGGAUUUCAGGACCUCAGAGCAGCAUUCUUCAGGCUGUGGGAAAUGUGGGCACUGUAAGAAGCACUGAUAACUGUUUCUGUUCACUGUGGGAUGUGAUCCUCACCAGGUGGGAGCUGCUCAUGGGUCUUUAUUUGCAAAAGGACCU